rnacentral:sRNA from 1 species
GACAGGUUUGACAGCCUAAGCCUGUAGUCCCAGCUACUUGGAGACUGGGGGAAGAGGAUCACUUGAACCUAGGAGUCCCAAACUAGCCUGGGCAAUACAGCAAGAUCCUGUCUU